UUUCUUUUUCAGUAGUGGCCUCAGCUGAAGGUCAAUCACUUGCUGACGAGUAUUCCAGAAGUGCUCAAUACCUUGUGUAUUUUGGUGGAAAUGUUGGGUUACGGUAUGCUGAGAGUUGUCCUCGUGGUGGGAUCUGCUACUUAAACAGCAGCAUGGUAAGUUGGUUGACAAAGAAAAUCGGCCAAAGGAGGGUCUUGUCACUAUAGGUGUAACUUCAGGUGCUUCUACCCAAGAUAAGAAAAGAUGCUAUGAAGCUGGUAAUUUAUGGAUGGAUUGGUCGAUUACAUCAUGUCAUUGUGCCCAGCUGCAGCAAAA